GUAGGUGGCAAGCGUUGUCCGGAAUUAUUGGGCGUAAAGCGCGCGCAGGCGGUUCUUUAAGUCUGAUGUGAAAGCCCACGGCUCAACCGUGGAGGGUCAUUGGAAACUGGAGAACUUGAGUACAGAAGAGGAAAGCGGAAUUCCACGCGUAGCGGUGAAAUGCGUAGAGAUGUGGAGGAACACCAGUGGCGAAGGCGGCUUUCUGGUCUGUAACUGACGCUGAGGCGCGAAAGCGUGGGGGAGCAAACAGGAUUAGAUACCCUGGUAGUCCACGCCGUAAACGAUGAGUGCUAAGUGUUAGGGGGUUUCCGCCCCUUAGUGCUGCAGCUAACGCAUUAAGCACUCCGCCCUGGGAGUACGGCCGCAAGGCUG
rnacentral:rRNA from 1 species